CCCUCAAGCUUUGCUUGGUGUUGGGUGAAUGUUCUCUGUGCUUGCGCAGACUGGACUCGCCUGAAAACAAUUGGCAGCCGGCAUAUUGGCCUGGAGCGCAGCACAUUUUGCGCCUCUUGCUAUGAUUGUUGGCAUCCAUCAAGAUAUUUUAUUAACUC
rnacentral:misc_RNA from 1 species